rnacentral:rRNA from 1 species
CGGGGUGCACCAGGCGCGAAAACUUUACAAUGCCGGCAACGGCGAUAAGGGAACCUCGAGUGCCAGGUUACAAAUCUGGCUGUCGUGAUGCCUAAAAAGCAUUGCAUAGCAAGGGCCGGGCAAGACCGGUGCCAGCCGCCGCGGUAACACCGGCGGCUCGAGUGGUAACCGUUAUUAUUGGGUCUAAAGGGUCUGUAGCCGGCCGGGUAAGUCUCUUGGGAAAUCUGGCAGCUUAACUGUCAGGCUUUCAGGAGAUACUGCCUGGCUCGAGGCCGGGAGAGGUGAGAGGUACUUCAGGGGUAGGGGUGAAAUCUUGUAAUCCUUGAAGGACCACCAGUGGCGAAGGCGUCUCACCAGAACGGACCUGACGGCAAGGGACGAAAGCUAGGGGCACGAACCGGAUUAGAUACCCGGGUAGUCCUAGCCGUAAACGAUACUCGCUAGGUGUCGGCCACGGUGCGACCGUGGUCGGUGCCGUAGGGAAGCCGUGAAGCGAGCCACCUGGGAAGUACGGCCGCAAGGCUGAAACUUAAAGGAAUUGGCGGGGGAGCACA